rnacentral:rRNA from 1 species
UACGUAGGGACCAAGCGUUGUUCGGAUUUACUGGGCGUAAAGGGCGCGUAGGCGGCUUAACAAGUCACUUGUGAAAUCUCCGGGCUUAACUCGGAACGGCCAAGUGAAACUGUCAAGCUAGAGUGCAGAAGGGGCAAUCGGAAUUCUUGGUGUAGCGGUGAAAUGCGUAGAUAUCAGGAGGAACACCGGUGGCGAAGGCGGGUCUCUGGGCCGAUACUGACGCUGAGGAGCGAAAGCGUGGGGGAGCGAACAGG